UACAGAGGGUGCAAGCGUUGUUCGGAAUUAUUGGGCGUAAAGGGCGCGUAGGCGGCGCGACAAGUCACCUGUGAAAUCUCCGAGCUUAACUCGGAGCCUGCAGGCGAAACUGUCGUGCUGGAGUAUGGGAGAGGUGCGUGGAAUUCCUAGUGUAGCGGUGAAAUGCGCAGAUAUUAGGAGGAACACCGGUGGCGAAGGCGCCACUCUGGGCCGAAACUGACGCUGAGGAGCGAAAGCAUGGGUAGCAAACAGG
rnacentral:rRNA from 1 species